rnacentral:rRNA from 1 species
UACGAAGGGGGCUAGCGUUGUUCGGAAUUACUGGGCGUAAAGCGCACGUAGGCGGCUCGAUCAGUCAGGGGUGAAAUCCCAGAGCUCAACUCUGGAACUGCCUUUGAUACUGUCGAUCUAGAGUAUGGAAGAGGUGAGUGGAAUUCCGAGUGUAGAGGUGAAAUUCGUAGAUAUUCGGAGGAACACCAGUGGCGAAGGCGGCUCACUGGUCCAUUACUGACGCUGAGGUGCGAAAGCGUGGGGAGCAAACAGG